CACAAACAUAUUAUUCACCUGAGUACACAACACCAGCACAGAAAAAAAAAAAAUUCAUAUUACAAGAACACAUUGGUAUUGAAGGAACUAGAUACUGUUCCGAAAUAUCACUUACUCGAACCGUCCUGACCGCGUAGCUCAAUUGGAAGAGCAUUGGGCUAGUAUUCCAAAGGUCAUAGGUUCGAAUCCCACCGUGGCCGGGCAUAUUUUUCAAGCUCGCCCGGUGUGGAUAUUCACUCAGAGUAACAUCGCAAACGUAUUAUUCACCUGAGUACACAACACCAGCACAGAAAAAAAAAAAAAUUCAUAUUACAAGAACACAUUGGUAUUGAAGGAACUAGAUACUGUUCCGAAAUAUCACUUACUCGAACCGUCCUGACCGCGUAGCUCAAUUGGAAGAGCAUUGGGCUAGUAUUCCAAAGGUCGUAGGUUCGAAUCCCACCGUGGCCGGGCAUAUUUUUCAAGCUCGCCCGGUGUGGAUAUUCACUCAGAGUAACAUCACAAACAUAACAGUUAUAAUGCUAUAUCUAGUUAAAAUAUAAUGUAUAUAUCUUAAGGCCGUACAAACGAUUUUUGUCUUCUCUAGAACGUACACUUCAGG